rnacentral:misc_RNA from 1 species
ACACCUCAACUCUCGUGGUUUUGCCAUGAUGAGCUUGGACUUUGGAGGUCUUGCCGGCCUGUGGUCAGCUCCUCUCAAAUGGAUCAGCUCCCCAGUGUUUGGUGGCGUCACAGGUGUGAUAACUAUCUACGCUUGCGGCUUCCACAAGGUAACCUUCAGCAAUGGAGGUUCUCUGGAGCUCACAAAUGUCUUUCCUCAGCGAAGACAGCUCUUGAUU